rnacentral:rRNA from 1 species
UACGUAGGGUGCGAGCGUUGUCCGGAAUUACUGGGCGUAAAGAGCUCGUAGGUGGUUUGUCGCGUUGUUCGUGAAAACCUGAGGCUUAACCUUGGGCGUGCGGGCGAUACGGGCAGGCUAGAGUUCGGUAGGGGAGACUGGAAUUCCUGGUGUAGCGGUGAAAUGCGCAGAUAUCAGGAGGAACACCGGUGGCGAAGGCGGGUCUCUGGGCCGAUACUGACGCUGAGGAGCGAAAGCGUGGGGAGCGAACAGG